GAUGCAGAGAAAUGGAGCACAGGGAAGCCAAAUGAUUUGUUCAGAGUCACACAGGGCAGGUGGAUGGAGUAUAUUUGGAAUAUCACUGUGCUAUAAGAAAUGACGAGCUGGUUGAGUUAGAAGAACAUGAAAAGACUUGGACAAGUGAAAGAAGAUGCUAUAUACCUCCAGAGAAAGAAUAGUCAAAAGGCAAGGUUCUUCCCCGGGCCCUCCUCCAUAGUGGCUCCUGCGAACCAAGGAAGGAGGUGGAGAACCUGCGCAAGCUCUGCCCAAACAUGGCGCUGCUGAGGGCUCCGCAACGACCGC